AUGAUGCAUGGCCCGUGCGGUGAGGCUAAGAAAAACUCACCAUGCAUGGUGGACCAUAGAUGCACCAACCAUUUCCCAAAAAGAUACAAUGUCAGCACUACCAUUGACAAGGACGGAUUUCCAAUAUAUAAAAGGAGGGAUGACGGAAGGCAGAUCAAAAAGGGAGGGGUGAUGCUCGACAACAGAUUUGUCGUGCCAUACAACCGGAACCUUCUGGUCAAGUAUCAAGCUCACAUAAAUGUUGAGUGGUGCAAUAGGUCCAGAUCAAUCAAGUACCUAUUUAAGUAUAUCCAUAAAGACGACGACCAUGUUACAGCCUUGCUCAAGGAAAGGGGCACGUCAAACGAAACUGAGGAGAUCAAGAAAUACCUAAAGAUGAGAUACAUAUCAACAUCAGAAGCAUGCUGGAGUAUAUUUCAGUUUGAUCUUCAGUAUCGCGAUCCAGCAGUUGAGAGGCUACCUUUCCAUCUUGAAAAUGAGCAACAAGUCGUUUUUCCAGACUCCACUGAUCUUGAAAAGAUAGUAACAAGGGACGGAUCUAAAAUCACCAAGUUCACUCAGUGGAUGGAGGCAAAUAAAAUAUACGAGCUAGGAAAAGGAUUGACUUACGCAGAAUUCCCUACAAAGUUUGUAUGGAAAAGCGAAACAAAAUGUUGGCAGAAGCAAAAAGGGGACUAUGCAAUUGGAAGAAUCUACUAUGCACAUCCCGCAAGUGGCGAGAGAUAUCAUAUGAGGAUGCUUCUAAACACCAAGAAAGGAUGCACAUCAUUUGAGGACAUUAGGACCGUUGAUGGAGUCAUUCACCCAACAUACAAAUCAGCAUGCCAAGCCCUCGGAUUUCUUGAUGAUGACACCGAGUGGAUUGACAGUAUCAAUGAAGCAUCAAGUUGGGCAUCCGGAACACAACUGCGUCACUUAUUCACAACCAUAUUGUCCAAUUGCGAAGUCACAAACCCAAAGGUAUUGUGGGAUUCAACAUGGGAUGCGUUGUGUGAAGAUAUGCAAUACAAAAGAAGGACUAUUCUAAACUUUCCAACACUUCGGCUUACAAACACACAGAAGAAAGCGUAUGGUCUGAUUGAGAUAGAAAAACUGAUGAGGCAAGUAGGAAAGUCAAUAAAGGACUAUCCAAACAUAGAACUACCAAAUGCCGCAGAGCUAGAAGAACUUGGGAACAGACUAAUAAACGAAGAGGUCAACUACGACAUGGACAAACUCAAGGAUGAGCACAAGAUCAUACUAAACAAUCUUAACCAAGACCAGAAAAAGGCCUAUGAUGCAAUAAUGGAGUCAGUCGACAAAGGCCUAGGAAAGCAGAUAUUUGUCGAAGGCUACGGUGGCACAGGAAAAACCUAUCUAUGGAAAGCAAUAAUGACAAAGCUAAGAUCAGAGGGGAAGAUAGUACUUGCGGUAGCAUCAUGUGGCAUUGCAGCGUUGCUUCUCCAAGGUGGAAGAACAGCACACUCAAGGUUCCGUAUUCCACUUAAUAUCACUGAAGAAUCAACGUGUGAAAUAAAACAAGGCUCACAUUUGGCUGAACUGCUAAAGAAGGCCUCACUUAUAUUGUGGGACGAGGCUCCUACGGCAAACAAACACUGCUUCAGGCACUAG
rnacentral:rRNA from 1 species